GGCCGAGUAGUGCAAUGGUCAGCAUCUCACAUCCAUAAUGUGAGGAUGGAGGUUCGAUUCCUUCCUUGGCCA